rnacentral:lncRNA from 10 species
UAGAAACAUGUACCUGAUAAUUACAGGCUCCAGCCCUCUAAGUGCCCUUCAUAUUUAGGGAAGAUUCCAAGGAGAGUGCCUAUCAGCAAGUCCAGUUGAUUUCCAGGUGAGUACGGGUUCAAAAUCCAUUAUCCGAAAUGCUUGGGACUAGCAUUUCAGAUUUCAGAUUUCUGGGGUUUUUUUUCUGUUUUUGAAGCAUUUGCAUGUACAUAAAGAGCUGUCUUGAGGAUGAAACCCAACUCUAAACAUGAAAUUUAUUUAAUUUUAUAUACACCUCAAACACAUAGCCUGAAGGUAAUUUUAUACAAUAUUUUUAAUAAUUUUGUGUGUGAAACAAAGUUUGCGUAUAUGAAGUCAGGUGUGGAAUUUUCCAUUUGUAGCAUCAUGUCAUGUUCAAAAAGCCUUGGAUUUUGGAGCACUUCGAUUUUGGAUUUUUGGAUUAGGGAUGCUCAACUGUAAAUGCUUUUCUAUUCAUCUGCUACUCUGGCUUUCUUUCCUGCAUAAUACCAUAACUAUUAGGCACAUCUUCCUCUUCUCUUGCGUUUUGCUCCCUCCACUGGCUUCUACCACUGCAGAUGUACUGGACUUCUAAAGAUGACAAAGACCCACCGAUUUCUCUGGAACCUUCAGUAAUCCGAAUCCCCAUUUUGCCUUUUCAAAAAUGUAUAGAGUGUCCCUCCCUGCUUUAGAGUUAUAAUUAAACCAGGCAGAUACUUCACCAACACUGCUUAUAAAUGCAAGCAGCCCUUUAUGGUUUUCUCCCACUUCCUUCCUCAUCCCCUUCUCCCAGACAAAUUUGAGUGACACUCAUGAUAGUGUGCUCAGAAUUGGACUAUCUCUUCCAUCCUCUGAUGAAUAUAGCUUAGUCUCCUUGACUAUCAAUUUUCUGUGCAGACAUUGCUACAGGUUUCAUUCUGCACAUACACAGGAGUUGUAGGGAUAAUUUUAUGUUCCCAAGACUGUUCUGGUUCACACCACCCUGACCUCAGGAGUCCCCAGUAGUCUACACUAACUUACACGGAUCCAGAUACGUUUCCCUCUUCCUUUGCUUUGAGAUUUCUGUGCCAAAUAAACCCGUAAUUACAGAUUGAUGGGAAAUAAUGGCAGGAACUGGGGAUCUGGUAGGUGAAUCCCAAUUUUAAAACAUUGUUCACAGUCAUCACUGUUCCCCACUAAACUGUGUCCUUCUCACAGUAAAUAUUUUGUCUCAUUUAUACUGGUACCCUUAGUGUUUAGUACAGGGCCUGAUAAGUUGUAGGGCACAACAGUUAAUUAUAGCUGAGUUGAAUCCUGCAAUCUGGACCCAGGGUUGCUUCUGAUUAUUUAUGGGCAAGUGCUUCUUUUCCCUACACACUGUAGCUUGCAAUUAAAAAGGAACACAGCAGAAGAAGCAUUAUACGCCAAUUUCCAAAAAAAAUGCACUUAUCAUAACAUUAUAUAUGUCAGUGUUUAUCAGCAUGUGCUAUAUAGACCAGCUGCAUCAAAAUUGCCUGAAGAACUGGCUAAAAAUUCAGAAAAAAAUGUGUUUCAGUCCAUACUCACUGUACCAUAGUUAAUCAGACAUCUCUGGACUUACAUAAAUUAAAGUGGAGGCCCCAGCUUUAGUCAAUCUCAGACACCCCUCUCCCCACCUUAUAUUUUAUAGAAAUGGGUGGUUAGUUGAUUGGUAGAUCUGAGACCUGUGAAAACACUACAUAGAAUUUAAUUAAUCUAUAUACAUCAGGCAUUAUUUUCC